rnacentral:rRNA from 1 species
UGGGGAAUCUUGCGCAAUGGGCGAAAGCCUGACGCAGCGACGCCGCGUGAGUGAUGAAGGCCUUCGGGUUGUAAAGCUCUGUGGGGGGAGACGAAUAAGUCGUGGCCAACAUCCACGAUGAUGACGGUAUCCCCUUAGCAAGCACCGGCUAACUCUGUGCCAGCAGCCGCGGUAAUACAGAGGGUGCAAACGUUGUUCGGAAUUACUGGGCGUAAAGCGCGUGUAGGCGGUCCUGUAGGUCAGGUGUGAAAUCCCCCGGCUCAACCGAGGAAGUGCACUUGAAACCCCAGGACUUGAGUGUUGGAGAGGAAGGCGGAAUUGUCGGUGUAGAGGUGAAAUUCGUAGAUAUCGACAGGAACACCUGCGGCGAAAGCGGCCUUCUGGACAAACACUGACGCUGAGACGCGAAAGCGUGGGGAGCAAACA